rnacentral:rRNA from 1 species
UACGUAGGGGGCUAGCGUUGCUCGGAAUUACUGGGCGUAAAGGGCGCGUAGGCGGACAGUUUAGUCAGAGGUGAAAGCCCAGGGCUCAACCUUGGAAUUGCCUUUGAUACUGGCUGUCUUGAGUUCGGGAGAGGUGAGUGGAAUGCCGAGUGUAGAGGUGAAAUUCGUAGAUAUUCGGCGGAACACCAGUGGCGAAGGCGACUCACUGGCCCGAUACUGACGCUGAGGCGCGAAAGCGUGGGGAGCAAGCAGG